rnacentral:rRNA from 1 species
GCCAGACUCCUACGGGAGGCAGCAGUGGGGAAUAUUGGGCAAUGGGCGCAAGCCUGACCCAGCAACGCCGCGUGAAGGAAGAAGGCUUUCGGGUUGUAAACUUCUUUUGUCAGGGACGAAGCAAGUGACGGUACCUGACGAAUAAGCCACGGCUAACUACGUGCCAGCAGCCGCGGUAAUACGUAGGUGGCAAGCGUUAUCCGGAUUUACUGGGUGUAAAGGGCGUGUAGGCGGGACUGCAAGUCAGAUGUGAAAACCACGGGCUCAACCUGUGGCCUGCAUUUGAAACUGUAGUUCUUGAGUACUGGAGAGGCAGACGGAAUUCCUAGUGUAGCGGUGAAAUGCGUAGAUAUUAGGAGGAACACCAGUGGCGAAGGCGGCUUACUGGACGGCAACUGACGCUGAGGCUCGAAAGCGUGGGGAGCAAACAGGAUUAGAUACCCGUGUAGC